AAGAGCCGGAUGAGCUGAGAGGUUCAAGUCCGGUUCCGUGAGAGGCUUAGGGGGAAGUUCCCUUUGCCUACUCGA
rnacentral:ncRNA from 1 species